rnacentral:rRNA from 1 species
AGCGCAGGCGGUUUCUUAAGUCUGAUGUGAAAGCCUUCGGCUCAACCGAAGAAGUGCAUCGGAAACUGGGAAACUUGAGUGCAGAAGAGGACAGUGGAACUCCAUGUGUAGCGGUGAAAUGCGUAGAUAUAUGGAAGAACACCAGUGGCGAAGGCGGCUGUCUGGUCUGUAACUGACGCUGAGGACUCAAAGCAUGGGUAGCAAACA